rnacentral:rRNA from 1 species
UACGUAGGAGGCGAGCGUUGUCCGGAGUACUGGCGUAAAGCGCACGCAGGCGGUCAGAUCAGUCUGGAGUGACAGUCGUCGGCUUAACCGACGAAGUGUUCUGGAAACUGUCUGACUUGAGGGCUUCAGAGGGACACGGAAUUCCGGGUGGAGUGGUGAAAUGCGUAGAGAUCAUGAGGAAGACCAGUGGCGAAGGCGGGUCGAUCUGGACAG